AACAACAAGAUUUUAAUUUUAAUAGAAUCCUAAAUAACUCCAAUUAAAUCUUUAAAAUUCUAAUCAAGCUUUAAUCAAAUCCAAAAGAACCUCAAAGAAAUUAAAAAAGAAGCAUGAAGAAAUCCUAAAAAAAUUCAAAAAAAGUAUUAGAAUAAAAUCUUAAAUAUAUCUUAAAUAAAUUCCAACCAAAUCUUCAUUUAAUCAUAAUUAAAAUUUUAGAAGUCCUUUCUUAAAUCCUAAGUCAAAUCUUGACUAAAUUCUAAAAAAUUCUAAAAAAUCCUAAACAAUCUUAAAUCCUUAACAAAUACUAAAUUCUAACCGA
rnacentral:lncRNA from 1 species